rnacentral:rRNA from 2 species
GAACCCCCGGAGGCAUAGGGAAACCGAUACGGCCGCAGUCUUUGACCAGGGCCACCGUCUUCAAGGGCGGGGAGCCAACCGGAUGCGACCCGAAACCAAGUGAUCUACGCCGGAGCAGGGCGAAGCGUGGCGAAAGCUGCGUGGAGGCCCGUUAGAGUUGGUGUCCUACAAUACCCUCUCGUGACUCUGGUGUAGGGGUGAAAGGCCCAUCGAACUUGGCAACAGCUGGUUCCAACCGAAACAUGUCGAAGCAUGACCUCUGAUGAGAUAGUUCGUGAGGUAGAGCGACCGAUUGGGAAUCCGGACUCCGAGAGGAGUUCGCUUCCCUGUCAAACUCCGAACUUACGAACGUCGUAGACUCAGGGAGUCCGGUGUGCGGGGUAAGCUUGUGCACCGUGAGGGAGACAACCCAGAGCCAGGUUAAGGACCCAAAGUGUGGAUUAAGUGUGAUUGAAGAUUGUCUCGAGCCCUAAACAGCCGGGAGGUGAGCUUAGAAGCAGCUACCCUCUAAGAA